rnacentral:rRNA from 1 species
UACGAAGGGGGCUAGCGUUGCUCGGAAUCACUGGGCGUAAAGGGCGCGUAGGCGGCGUUUUAAGUCGGGGGUGAAAGCCUGUGGCUCAACCACAGAAUGGCCUUCGAUACUGGGACGCUUGAGUAUGGUAGAGGUUGGCGGAACUGCGAGUGUAGAGGUGAAAUUCGUAGAUAUUCGCAAGAACACCGGUGGCGAAGGCGGCCAACUGGACCAUUACUGACGCUGAGGCGCGAAAGCGUGGGGAGCAAACAGG